rfam:Chaetura pelagica isolate M959 contig43726, whole genome shotgun sequence.
AUGCAUCUGUUUGACAGACCUGGAGCAAAACAGCCAUUGCUACUCUGGUUCUUGCUAAGGUGCAGUAGUAACAGGUUCCUUGCGCUUUCCACCUGUCUGACCUCGUGGCAGGCUGGAUUGAAUAAAGGAACACAAAC